rnacentral:lncRNA from 1 species
GGUAGGGGGUGGGGGGAGGGGGGAAGAUGGGAUGCGGAGAUGGGGAUGAAUCCGGGACCUACGGCGGAUGGGGUGCGAGCACCGGCGGUGGGGCUGGACUGCAGGAGCCGUCGGCGGCAGAUGCGUCAAGCGGCGGUGGUGGAUGCGUCAAGCGGCGGUGGUGGAUGCGAGGAGCAGAGGAGUGUGAGUGCGAGUGCGGGAAGCGUAGGAAGGAUGCGGGGAGCAGAGGAGUGUGGGUGCGAGUGUGGCAUGUUGGAGGUAUGCCCUAGAGGCAAUCAUAGAGAUGAUGAUAUUCCAUUUGUAUCCAUGAUUUAUAUUGUGUUCCUUGAAUAUCCAUUAAAGGCUACUUGAAUUGAUUUGCAAUUAUGUGAAUUGUGUGUGAAACUCUUUACUUGUAUGGUUAUUCUAAAGUUGUCCCUAGUCGGAGUUCAUGUGAGGACACACAUGAAUAUUAGACUAGCACAUGUAUUAGUUGAUGACUAUGUUUCACAAGUCAUGGACAUGGAGAUGUUG